GUGCUCACUUUGGCAGCACGUAUACUAAAAUUGGAAUGAUACAGAGAAGAUCAGCAUAGCCCCUGUGCAAGAAUGAAAUGCAAAUUCAUAAAGUGGUCCAUAUUUUU